GGCAGAGUGGCCGAGUGGUUAAGGCGUUGCACUUGAAUUCCCACGUUUGAGAUAUGCAAUACGUUCGCGUUCGCAAGUUCGAAUCUUGUCUCUGUCG
rnacentral:tRNA from 1 species